rnacentral:rRNA from 1 species
UACGUAGGGGCGAGCGUUGUCCGGAUUUACUGGGCGUAAAGGGAGCGUAGGCGGACUUUUAAGUGAGAUGUGAAAUACCCGGGCUCAACUUGGGUGCUGCAUUUCAAACUGGAAGUCUAGAGUGCAGGAGAGGAGAAUGGAAUUCCUAGUGUAGCGGUGAAAUGCGUAGAUAUUAGGAGGAACACCAGUUGCGAAGGCGGCUCUCUGGACUGUAACUGACACUGAGGCACGAAAGCGUGGGGAGCAAACAGGAUUAGAUACCCGCGUAGU